GGACGAACGCUGGCGGCGUGCCUAAUACAUGCAAGUCGAGCGANCGGAACCAACAGAUUUACUUCGGUAAUGACGUUGGGAAAGCGAGUGGCGAACGGGUGAGUAACACGUGGGAAAUCUGCCUAGGAGUGGGGGAUAACAUUCGGAAACGGAUGCUAAUACCGCAUAUCUUUUUGAACCGCAUGGUUCUUAAACGAAAGACGGCUUCGGCUGUCGCUCUUAGAUGAUCCCGCGGCGUAUUAGUUAGUUGGUGGGGUAAAGGCCUACCAAGACCAUGAUACGUAGCCGACCUGAGAGGGUGAUCGGCCACACUGGGACUGAGACACGGCCCAGACUCCUAUGGGAGGCAGCAGUGGGGAAUCUUCCGCAAUGGACGAAAGUCUGACGGAGCAACGCCGCGUGAACGAUGACGGCCUUCGGGUUGUAAAGUUCUGUUAUACGGGACGAAUGGUACGACGGUCAAUACCCGUCGUAAGUGACGGUACCGUAAGAGAAAGCCACGGCUAACUACGUG
rnacentral:rRNA from 1 species